AGCAGCCGCGGUAAUUCCAGCUCCAAUAGCGUAUAUUAAAGUUGUUGCAGUUAAAAAGCUCGUAGUUGAAUUUCGGGAUCAAUAUGUUGGUCGUGCCUUGGUACGUACUGGCAUUAUCGAUUCCUACCUUCUGAAGAACCUCGAUGUCAUUAAUUUGGUGUCUUGGGGAAUCAGGACUGUUACUUUGAAAAAAUUAGAGUGUUUAAAGCAGGCUCGCGCUUGAAUACAUUAGCAUGGAAUAAUGAAAUAGGACGUUUGAUUCUAUUUUGUUGGUUUCUAGGAUCGACGUAAUGAUUAAUAGGGAUAGUUGGGGGCAUUAGUAUUCAAUUGUCAGAGGUGAAAUUCUUGGAUUUAUUGAAGACUAACUACUGCGAAAGCAUUUGCCUAAGGAUGUUUUCAUUAACCAAGUAACGAAAGUUAGGGGAUCGAAGACGAUCAGAUACCGUCGUAGUCUUAACCAUAAACCCAUGCCGACUACGGGAUCGGGAUGAUGUUAAUUUUUAAUGUACUCAUUCGGCGC
rnacentral:rRNA from 1 species